UUUUAAUAUUUUCAUUUCUUUGUACUGUUAAAAGCUAUCACGGUUAACAAAAUAAUCAGGCAAUAACAUGUGACAUGUUACGUGUAUCUAAUGCUAACAUACAUGGGCCAAUUUUUAAUAGUAAAAAUAGAUUAAAUUUUUAAUA
rfam:Gossypium raimondii Chr03_contig_468, whole genome shotgun sequence.